GAGACGAGGUCUCACUAUAUUGCCCAGGCUGGUCUUGAACUCCUGGCCUUAAGCGAUCCUCCUUCCUUGGCCUCCCAAAGUGCUGGAGUUACAGAUGUGAGCCUCUGUGCUCAGCCCAUCCUUGGCUGUUCAAGUGUAGAGGUGAUGUAAAAUUCUCAAACAAUGAGAUAGAUAAAAAGUACGCAGCCAAAAAGUUCAAGAAGAAGUGUUAUGGAGAUGGAGCAGGCCCUUCGUAAAAACACGAUGUUGGUUUUCUGGAUUUUGGAGGCCUCACAAAACCCGGAUCAGACUCGCCCACUGCCCUGUGUCUGCCCUCCCGACCGCCUCUCCUGCCCAGCAGGGAUGAGGGUGGCAGUGGUGCUGUGUGGAGGGUGGCGGGAGGACCUGGAAGACUGCGACCAGUGAGCCGGGAGGCCUUGGGACAGCCUCUCUCUGAAUCAUCCUGUGCACUGCCGGGUGUGACAGAGGCUCCUAGAAUCCUGUCUCAAGUGGCCGCCUUCACAGAGGGAGUCACUGACGUCCCUGCUCAGCGCAGCCCUGGCAUGUGGGGGUCCCUCUACUCAUGAGAAACCCCCACCCAAUCACCGUGAGAUGAAGAAAUGGGGCCUGGCGAGGAGCAAAGCCCAGAACUGCUGCCCACCACCCUCCCUGCCUGGUGCUUUCCUGGGAACAUGUGGGAGCCCCUGCCUGGACCUUGG
rnacentral:lncRNA from 1 species